GACGAACGCUGGCGGCGUGCUUAAUACAUGCAAGUCGAACGGAAAGGCCCUGCUUUUGUGGGGUGCUCGUGUGGCGAACGGGUGUGUAACACGUGAGUAUCCUACCCUUGUCUUUGGGAUAACUUCAGGAAACUGGGGCUCAUACCGGAUAGAAGCUCCUGCUGCAUGGUGGGGGUUGGAAAGUUUCGGCGGUUGGGGAUGGACUGGAGGCUUCUCCGCUUGUUGGUGGGGUAGUGGCAGACGAAGGCUUUGACGGGUAGCCGGCAUGGGAGGGGGACCGGGCACAUGGGGACUGAGAGACGGACCAGACGCCUACGGGAGGCAGCGGUGGGGAAUAUGGCGGAAUGGGGGGAAGCCAGAUGCGACAGUGCCGCGAGCGGGAAAACGGCUUACGGGUGAAGAACCGCUGUCUCCGGAGACGAGGCGGGAGUGACGGUAAUGGGUAAGAAAGCACCGGCUAACUACGUG
rnacentral:rRNA from 1 species